CACGUAGGCACCAAGCGUUGUCCGGAUUUAUUGGGCGUAAAGAGCUCGUAGGCGGUUCAGUAAGUCGGGUGUGAAAACUUUGGGCUUAACCCAAAGCGUGCAUCCGAUACUGCUGUGACUUGAGUUCGGUAGGGGAGUGGGGAAUUCCUAGUGUAGCGGUGAAAUGCGCAGAUAUUAGGAGGAACACCGGUGGCGAAGGCGCCACUCUGGGCCGAAACUGACGCUGAGGAGCGGAAAGCAUGGGUAGCAAACAGGG
rnacentral:rRNA from 1 species